rfam:Capsicum annuum cultivar Zunla-1 chromosome 3, whole genome shotgun sequence
AUCAGAGUGGCGCAAUGGAAGCGUGGUGGGCCUAUAACCUACAGGUCCCAGGAUCAAAACUUAGCUCUGAUA